rnacentral:rRNA from 1 species
UACGUAGGGUGCAAGCGUUGUCCGGAAUUAUUGGGCGUAAAGAGCUCGUAGGCGGUUUGUUGCGUCGGCUGUGAAAUCCCGAGGCUCAACCUCGGGCCUGCAGUCGAUACGGGCAAACUAGAGUACUGCAGGGGAGACUGGAAUUCCUGGUGUAGCGGUGAAAUGCGCAGAUAUCAGGAAGAACACCCGUGGCGAAGGCGGCUCUCUGGGACGGUACUGACGCUGAGACGCGAAAGCGUGGGGAGCGAACAGG